rnacentral:lncRNA from 1 species
GAGGUGAGCACAGGCGAUGGGGUGCCAGAGGAAAGGCUGAGAAAGUGCAUUUCUGAGGUCUCCUUCAUCCCUUCUGCCUCACUUUUGACUUCAUGUUUUCUGUUGGAUGGAGAAAUGACUACAGCAGAAGUCAAAGCAGUCCUCUGUGGGUGAAAGUGCUGAUUUCUCCAAAGCAGGAACAGCUACUGCGUGGAGAUUCGAGCAGUGGCUACACCUUCCCCCACCUCCUCUUUAGUGCUACUAACAAGGGUUUGGAUUUUCUAUGGGGGUAGGUUGAAGAGUCUUGCCCCCAUUACACAGUCUGACAGCCUGUCUAUGGAGAAAAGACCUCCUAGAUGUGAAUCCUAGAAAAUGUUUUAGUUACCAUAUCCUUUUUGAAAAAAUUGUGGUAGGAUACAUUUCAGCUUUUUGAAGUGUAUCUUUCAGUAGUGUUAAUUACAUCCACAUUAUUGUGCUCUGACCUUCAGACCACUUUUCUUCUUGCAAAAUGAACACCUCAUCCCCAUUAAACCACGAAUCUCCUCAACACUCCCAGGCCCUCUACUUUCUGUUUGGCUGAAUUUGACUCCUUUAGGUCCCUCAUAGAAAUGGAGUCAUAUGGUAGCUGUCUUUCUGUGAUUGUUUUAUUUCACUUAGUGUAAUGUUUUUGACGCUCGUUCAUGUUGCAUCACGUGUACAGAUUCCCUUCCUCCAAAGACUGAACAAUAUUUCAUUGACUGUAUCCGCCACAUCUUGUUUAUUAAUUCAUCUGUUGGUGGGCACAGGUUGUUUCUACCUUUGCUUCCAGCUACUAGGAACAAUGCUUCUGUCAUCAUAAGUGUACAGAUAUCUCCUUGAUGGGGGGAUGGAUAUGAGUAAAAUAUAUUAUACAUAUUGAACCCCCCAAUGUGAAACUAAGGAGGAGCACAGUGCAAAGGGAGUAACUGAAGAGAGAUUGAUCAAAAUAUGUUAUGUGCACGUGCAAAUCUGCCAAAAUAAAACCCAUUAAUCUGUAUAACCAAUAAAAAGAGAAUGAGAAG